rnacentral:rRNA from 1 species
AUGAGAUCAUUAUCUACCAUGCAGGAAAACUUAAAGAAGUGGAGCUAUGAGUCCUUUGGCUCUGUUCGUGGUCGGUUAAAAGAUUUGAGAAAGCAAUUGGAGGAAGUGAGGGACAGGAACUGGAGAAGAGGACUAACAAAACAAGAGAACAGUUUUUUUAACCAAAUUUCGGAGUUAAUGGCUAGAGUAGAAAUUAUGAUACGCCAGAGAUCAAGAGUACAAUGGCUAGUGGAAGAAGAUCGUAACACAGCCUUUUUUUCACUCAAAAUGCAGAGAAAGAGCAAGACAAAACAGAAUAAUUUCUCCACAACGAGAGGAUGGAAGGAUAUGUUAUCAACAGGGAGAAAUUGA